AGCAAUUUAGAGACGCUGAGGUACGAUCUGGAUCAGGAUGAGGGGAGGAGGAUGGAGGCUUGAGGUCGAUGUGUGAAGAUCGAAGUUUUGACGGUGGAUUGGAAUUGAGAGGUCUGCAAAACUGGAUCUGUAGUGUUGGAAACCAGUUGGCUAGUUUGUGUUGGAUUGUGAGUUGAUGAAAUUAUUUUCUUUAGGUUUUGUAAAUUUGGAGAAUGCAGUUAUGUGUUCUCUGCAACCUAUUAGAUGUGAGGUAAGAGUCUAUAAUACAGAAUAUAAUCUUGUUUGUGGAGGAAAUU
rnacentral:misc_RNA from 1 species